AUGAGUUCCCACAAGCAGAAGCAGCCCUUUACCUCACCCCCUCAGCUUCAACAGCAGCAGGUGAAACAGCACAGCCAGCCUCUCCCUUAGGAACCAUUUGUUCCCAUAACCAAGGAGCCAUGCUACCCAAAACUUGGAACCUGGAACCUGGAAACACCAAGAUUCCAGAGUUAGGCUGCACCAAGAUCCCUGAGCCAGGCUGCACCAAGGUCCUUGAGUCAAUCUCCACCAAGGUACCAGAGCCACAUCCUUCAACAGUCACUUCCGGCCCAGCUCAGCAGAAGUCCAAGUAGAAGUAA
rnacentral:lncRNA from 1 species